GCCAAAUAUAUUUGGUGGCUCUCUGUGCCCAAAAGAGACAUCAAAUGACGGCCAAUCAAUCCAGCAUGUAUGGCCUCUAAAUGACUAUGACCGAAGACUGUCGGCCAAAUUUCCUAGUGCAUGUAGCAUGGCCUUUGUUCUACCCAGGAUCUUGACUGUUGUACUGGAAACUGGAAAUUGGAACCAACAUUAUUUGAUUCUAUUAGAUUUACUUUGAAAAGACAUAAUUGUUUUCCAGUUAAAAGUCACAGUGCUAUGAAAUAUUUCUGCAUGUUAACUUUCUACAAGAGUAAAACACUUUUCUUAAUAAAGACCAGCUUUUCUGCUAGCCAAAUAUGGAUCCACCACUGGCAAAACACAUGUGUAAAAUGAGAUGUUCCUUUACAGAUGUUCCUUUCCGCUAUACGUUUUCUUGGUUUUCUUCUCAUGCAAUCAUUUAUUUUGGUGACUGUUUACAACGCUACAAUAAAUUCAACCCCAAGGAUGGGUUUUGUCCUAGAGGUCAGACCCACGGCUUGCCUACUUCAAGAAGUGCCAACAGGUACUCCCUGACAUAUUCAUCAUAGUGCACAAAUUAGAUCAGGAGACACACAGGCUGUGUACAGACAUACGCAAUGGGGACAGCAAGCCAGCAAGAGAAGCACGUUUGUCCUCCAUGCUUUCUAGAAACAAUCUUUUUUUCCCAGGAGGGAGCUCAGAAAGAACCUACAGUAUUGUGUUCUGGCUUCACCCUCUUCCCAGCAGAACCCAGUCAUACAGACAUGCUAAUUCUUUCAUCCCAGAAAGGAUAUGCCAACUCCACCUCUGGCUUUCCACAGGAGUUUUACAACUUUUAAAAAAGAUUGGGGUGGGGAGGGAGAAAAAUGUUCUAUGUCAGGGCUUGGGAACCUAUGGCUCUCCAAACUGAACACUAAAUCCCCAUCAGGCCCAAUUAGCCCAGCUAACAGUGAGGCAUGAUGGGUGCUGCAGUUCAUCAACAUCUGGAGAACCACAGGUUCCAACUUCCAAUCAAUACCUGUUUUCAUUUAAAAAGCCAAUCAAAAGCACAGGAGGUGAAGAGUCAUACAGAUCAGCAUCCACACUGCUGACACACCGGUAAAUACAUAGUUACAUGUAAUGCAAAGAGAGAACCCAGACUCACUGUAUGUGUGUGUGUGGGAGGGG
rnacentral:lncRNA from 1 species